ensembl:lncRNA
CGCCCAUGGCGUUCCAUGUGGGGUUGGAGUCAGCAGCCCCAGGUUAACAUAUCCUGGUUCGGCACCAUCCGUGUGAUUUACAGUCACCUGGGUCCUAGGCCCAGUGAUCACUGAUUGAAAGUGGUCGGGAAAGGGACCUCUGUGUCUGGUGUUUCACGCAUAUUAUCUCAUCCUUUAUGGCAGACCUGUUCUCAUCUCCAUUUGACUGGUGAAGAAAAUGCAGCUCAGAAAAGUUCAGCAAACUGCCCAAGGUGACGCAGAGCUCCCAGGAGAGGCUGGUGCUGUCACCCAGGACCACACUCUGACUAACCCGUUCUCAUCCUCUGGACUCUGAGGCACACUGUGUAGACAGCACCAGAGUCAAGGCUUGCUUACAGUGACACUGAUGAUAGAAGCCUCUACUGACAACUACAUCGUUGAUAUGAAGGGAGAAGACCAACCAAAGACUGCAGUCUGGACCUGCAGAAGGAGGUGGACACAGACCCAACCCAAAAUCAUCACCAGCCCAUGUGCUGCAAGCAAAUUUAAGACAGAAUGAAUAUUGAAAUCAGUAAAGACUUGAAUUUAAAUCUCAGCUUUGCUAUUUAUUAGCUGUGAGAAUUUGGGUUGUCACUUUGCCUCUCAGAGCCUCCAUUUUCCUUUCUGUAAAAUGGGAACAAUAUCACAGUGUUCCAAAGGGCCAGUGGGAUGAUACAAUGAAAUGGCUCCCAGCUGAGGACUCUUGUCAUGCAUCACAACUGUCUUCACCUGCUUUUAGUGGCCCCAUCAGACUCAUUGUAUUAAGGGAGCUCAUUAAAAAUGGCAAUGAUGGUGUCCUUAAUAGGAAUGGUGAUGACAAGGAUGGAAGUAUAACUCAACCUCAAGAAAUCGACCUCAGGCUUAGAUUUAGCCUGCAAGGUAGGAUAUCAAACAACAGGGAACUUGACAAUCAGGAUGAAGACAUUCUUCAGACACUGCGGUUAUUACACCAGGAUGUUUUACAGUCACGUUUCUCACUCGUCUGCUGAAUGCAACUGUUCACAGUCAUAGUGAUUAUUGAUUAUAUAGGUGAGUGUCUGUCUUUGUGGUAUUUCUCCUGGAUUAGCCAGAUCAUUAAUUUCAUGGCAUAUGCUGCUUACUGACACUUCUGGGAAAUCGGAAAUCUGAAUAAACACUUUUACCAGAAAUUAUAUUAGAUUUAAUAUUUGACUAAGAGAUUCCCAGAUAUUUAACAUUACACCAUAGUCAAGAGAGAAAGCUUGGGAAUUCCUGUGUGACUUCAGUUUGUAACCCAUGGCAUUUUAUUUCCCUUCCUUAAGGUCAUUCAAGCACAUAAGACAUCUUUACUCCUUUUUCCAUCCUGGGCAUCCUUUUCAGGCUCUGAGUUUCCAAGGAGCCAGGGAGCAUGCCUUAGAUCUUCCUGAGGUCUGCCUCUCACCUCUCAGCCAGGACCACCCACCAGGCCUGUGGUGACCCCUAGUGAUUUCCUCAAGUCUAGCCAGUUGCUUGCUGUACUGGUUUGAAUUGCAUGUAUUCCUGUUUAGUCGCUAAGUUGUGUCUGACUCUCUGAAGACCUGUAAAUUGUAGCCUUCCAGGCUCCUCUGUCCAUGAGAUUUUUCAGGCAAGAAUAAUGGAGUGCAUUACCAUUUCCUCCUCCAGGGGAUCGUCUGGACCCAGGGAUCACAUCCGCAUCUCCUGUGUCUCCUGCAUUGGCAGGCUGGUUCUUUACCACUGAGCCACCUGGGAAGGGUUGAAAGGUAGCCACCCCAAAAGAUACACCCAUCCAGAACCUGUGAAUGGGAACUUGUUUGGAAAAAGGAACUUUGCAGAUGGAAUUAAUUAAAAAAUCUAGAGAUGAGUUCAACCUGAGUUGCCUCAGUGUACCCUAAACCCACUUACAAGUGUUCUUACAAGAGACAGAGAUCAGCAAGCAUGGCUGGAAAAGACGGGAAGACACAUGAAGACGGAGAUGGUGAUGUAACCGCAGGGAACACUGAGGACCAUCAGAGCUGGAAGAAGCAAGGAGGGAUCCUCUCCCUGAGCCUGCAGAGGAACCACGGCCCUGCUGACACCUUGAUUUUGGACUUCUAGGCUCCAAAACUGUGAGACUAAAUUUCUGUUGUUUCAUGAUACCUGGCUUGUGAUAAUUGGCUAUGGCAGCCCUACGAAACUAAUAUAGCAGUCCAGCCUGCUUUCUGCCAGGCACUGGUCUCUCCCAACUCUCUCUUCAGUAGUGCCUGGGGAGGGUAAUUUAUAUGCACACAUUCCAGCUUUAUUUAGUUUACUUUACCUUUUAAUAUUCAGAGGCUUCAGACAUAGGCAUCUCAGCCUCACAUCUUCAACCUGAAGAUAGCGGGGAUUUGAGGCUACAGUUAAUAGGUAUCUUCCCAUCCCUAUGCUCAUGAUAGACAGUCAUCUCGAGCACUCUCUCUCCUUACUCUGAUUUCUCUUCUACAGCAUCUUGGCAGGGGGAUUUUCCUGGGACUUGCUUGCUUGCUUGCAAUUAUUUAUUUAUUUUUAUAUGGACCAUUCUUAAAGUUUUUAUUGAAUUUGUUACAAUAUUGCUUCUGUGUUAUGUUUUGGUCAUGAGGCAUGUGGGAUCUUAGUUCCUCCACCAGGGAUCAAACUUGCAUCCCCUGAAUCGGAAGCUGAAGUCUUAACCACUGGACCACCAGAAUGUGAGAUCUUCAGCAUGCCAGCAAUAUUUAAGUGCCAAGAUUGUGUAGGCUGCUGCAUUGGGAGCCUCAGCUCUUCUCCGGCUGUUGUCUGAAAGCCAUGCCCAGGUUCUCGCCAGGUGGGUGUCACCAUAGGACAGGUUCAAACAUGACAGGUUGCUUCAACAGAUCGAAGACAAGCCAGGAGAAAAAAGUGUUAACAAGAUGAAAGUCACAGUCUUUUGCAACCUAAAUUUGGAAAUCAUAAAGUGUCAUCUUUGCCCUGUUCUAUUCAUUAAGAGCAAGCCACUGGGUCCAGCCCAGCCUCCAGCAAAGGGGUUACACAAG